UGGUGCAUGGCCGUUCUUAGUUGGUGGAGCAAUUUGUCUGGUUAAUUCCGAUAACGAACGAGACCUCAGCCUGCUAACUAGCUACGCGGAGGUUCCCCUUCGCGGCCAUCUUCUUAGAGGGACUAUGGCUGUUUAGGCCAUGGAAUUUUGAGGCAAUAAUAGGUCUGUGAUGCCCUUAUAUGUUGUGGGCCACACGCACGCUACACUGAUGCAGUCAACGAGUUUUUCUCCCUAGUUCGAGAGGAUCGAGAAAUCUUCUCAAAUUGCAUCGUGAUGGGGAUAGACCAUUGCAAUUAUUGGUCUUCAACAAGGAAUUCCUAGUAAGCGCGUGUCAUCAGCUCGUGUUGACUACGUCCUUGCCCUUUGUACACACCGCCCGUCGCUCCUACCGAUUGAAUGAUCCGGUGAAGUGUUCAGAUCGCGUCAACGAGGGUGGUUCACUGCCGAUGAUGUCGUGAGAAGUUCACUGAACCUUAUCAUUUAGAGGAAGGAGAAGUCGUAACAAGGUUACCAUAGGUGAACCUGCGGUAGGAUCAUUG
rnacentral:ncRNA from 1 species